rfam:Fukomys damarensis contig137410, whole genome shotgun sequence.
GUACUAUAAUGGUUUCAUAGUUCAUUAGAUACAUCAUGAGGAGAUUUACGUGUCUGACGUAUCU